AGUGAACGCUGGCGGUAGGCCUAACACAUGCAAGUCGAACGGCCGCACAGUAAGAGUUUGCCCUUACGGGUGGCGAGUGGCGGACGGGUGAGGCAUACAUAGGAAUCUACUUUUUCGUGGGGGAUAACGUAGGGAAACUUAUGCUAAUACCGCAUAUGAUCUACGGGUGAAAGCAGGGGAUAUUCGGACCUUGCGUGUCUGAUUGAGCUGAUGCCGGAUUAGCUAGUUGGCGGGGUAAAGGCCCACCAAGGCAACGAUACGUAGCUGGUCUGAGAGGAUGAUCAGCCACACUGGAACUGAGACACGGUCCAGACUCCUACGGGAGGCAGCAGUGGGGAAUAUUGGGCAAUGGGCGCAAGCCUGAUCCAGCCAUGCCGCGUGGGUGAUGAAGGCCUUCGGAUUGUAAAACCCUUUUAUUAGGGAAGAAAAGAAGCAUGAUUAAACCCCGCUGUUCUGACGGUACCCAAAGAGAAAGCACCGGCUAACUACGUG
rnacentral:rRNA from 1 species